rnacentral:sRNA from 1 species
AGCAGCCGCGGUAAUUCCAGCUCCAAUAGCGUAUAUUAAAGUUGUUGCAGUUAAAAAGCUCGUAGUUGAAUUUCGGGACCAAUAUGUUGGUCGUGCCUCGGUACGUACUGGCAUUAUUGGUUUCUACCUUCUGAAGAACCGCGAUGUCAUUAAUUUGGUGUCGUGGGAAAUCAGGACUGUUACUUUGAAAAAUUAGAGUGUUUAAAGCAGGCUCGCGCUUGAAUACAUUAGCAUGGAAUAAUGAAAUAGGACGUUUGAUUCUAUUUUGUUGGUUUCUAGGAUCGACGUAAUGAUUAAUAGGGAUAGUUGGGGGCAUUAGUGUUCAAUUGUCAGGGGUGAAAUUCUUGGAUUUAUUGAAGACUAACUACUGCGAAAGCAUUUGCCAAGGAUGUUUUCAUUAAUCAAGAACGAAAGUUAGGGGAUCGAAGACGAUCAGAUACCGUCGUAGUCUUAACCAUAAACUAUGCCGACUAGGGAU